CAAUAGCGUAUAUUAAAGUUGUUGCGGUUAAAAAGCUCGUAGUUGGAUUUCUGCCGAGGACGACCGGUCCGCCCUCUGGGUGAGUAUCUGGCUUGGCCUGGGCAUCUUCUUGGAGAACGUAGCUGCACUUGACUGUGUGGUGCGGUAUCCAGGACUUUACUUGAGGAAAUUAGAGUGUUUCAAGCAGGCAUGCGCCUUGAAUACAUUAGCAUGGAAUAAUAAGAUAAGACCUUGGUUCUAUUUUGUUGGUUUCUAGGGCUAAGGUAAUGAUUAAUAGGAUAGUUGGGGGCAUUCGUAUUUAACUGUCAGAGGUGGAAUUCUCGGAUUUGUUAAAGACUAACUUAUGCGAAAAGCAUUUUGCCAAGGAUGUUUUCAUUAAUCAAGAACUGAAAGUUAGGGGAUCAAAGAUGAUUAGAU
rnacentral:rRNA from 1 species